GGCUGUUGCUGAAGGGGAGCAGCUGUCAUGGCUCUCAGAGAAGAGACUCAUGUUGCAGAGCCUGGAAUGUCUGCAGCGAGCAAUUGCAAAGCUGGAAGAUGAAAAGGUGGAGCUCAAGCAACAAAACACUGAACUCAGGAGGACUCUUGAGCAGGUGGAGCACGAACGGAGGAGACUGAAGAGAUGUUUUAGGGGUCGGUUACUCCCAGAUGCCUCUGGAUUUUCUCUCUCUGAGUCUGAGCAGUACAAUUUUCCUACUUCUAGACAGGAGGAGUCUCAUGCUCACUGCAGCCAGCGCUUAGCUGAGUUACAGAACCAGGUGAGGAGUAGGAAAAAUCACCAAAGGCUGCUGUGGCUGUACUCACAGGUACACCUGUCAUGCUGCUACA